AAUAAUAAUAGCAAGGGUCUCAUUCACUAAAUAAAGCUUAAGGCCUGAAGUCUUUUGCAGUCUAACACCUUCAUUCUAUACUUGCUGAGCCCCCUGGAACCAAAGGUAUUAUUUUCCUUUUUCCACUCCAGAAAGGCCACCAAGAUAAACCCUUGCCAAGGAUAUCUGACUAGGAACUGGCAGGGUUGGGAUUUAGUUCUUACUUUUAGAGUUUCGGUGUUUGCAGGGCUAGGUAUGAAACAUGGGUCUUCAUAUACACCAAGACAGUCACCACGGAGCCCUAUCACAAGGCUCCAUUCCCAGCCUCUUAGACACCAGCUUCUGACCGCCUUCAGCCUUAUCAGUCUAUGUUCUAGCUCCCAGCAUGUGGUCUUACUCUUCCUAGUCACUGCACGGCAUCACUGGAGGCAUGCAUGGGAGAAUUUAUGAAGUCAUAUGUCCUUUCUCCAUGGAUGGCAUUUCCCCUGGCUGCCAAGGGGGCAGUCUCCCUGAGGGCAGGGAGAAGAUUCACCAGCCAUCAGCAUCACACCUUGAAUUAGCCCCAGAGCUGACAGAUGACUGGCCCCAGAUCUCUCUACAUGUGUCAGCAAGAAAGGAAGUAGCAGAAAGAAACUUUCAAGCUGUGGUUGACAACAUGAGCUCUGGAUCUGGGUUGUUCUGGGAUCUACUCUACCUCAUAUGCCCAAUUUCAUACCAGACAGGAGCCUUUCUGAACCUGCUCACUCCACUGUAAGCUAGAGGAAAGGAGAGGAGCUACCCAAGGGGCUACUAGGAGCUUGACACCCCACCAUGACAUGACUGCUCCUCAGUGUGUUCACUAUGGCUAAUGAAACUGUACAGGAGUUUAAAGUGGACCCCAGAGUACUAGACUCUGCUUACAUUGCCCAGCCAGCACUCCCAGAAAGACUCCAGCAGGACCACACAUCCCUUUCUUCUUUCUUGCCUCACAUCAGACCCUGAGAGCAUCCUCUGCCUUCCUCCACAUUUUUUACUUUCUGAUCCUGUUGUUUUAAGACCUAAAUACUAGAUAGACCCACUACCCCAUAUUCCAGUUCCUGCUGGAAGCCAGUUGGACCUAGGGUAACAGGAACGUUGGUUGGCAGCUUCCUCAUUUCCCAGAUGGACAAGCAGAUGAGGCCCUUCUAUUAUGGGAUGAGUUAAUGAGUCCUGCGCAUGCACAACACAUAUGCACACGUGUGCGUGCACACUGUUCUGGGAAUUCUGCCACGCCCUGCCAGAAUGAUGUGUCCCCAUCUGCCUCACAAUACCACCGUUCCCAGAACGGUCUGUGCAGGAGAACGGAGGCUGUAUCUUCGGACCCACUCUUUUGCCAUGCCCCUUUUAUUUUUCUAAUUCCUGACACGAAGCAGCCCUUUGCAAGAAGGAGCAGAACCAGACCCCAAAUAUGGACGUGACUAUAACUGAAGCAUAUGGUUUAUACUUUCAUCUUCCCCUCUGCAGUAGCCUGUGGCUCCUGGAGUCCUAGUUCCAUCUUAUACCAGUUUGGGCUCUAGAGGAAGGAAAGACAGAUGCCUCCCACCCACAAUUUCCAUGCGAGCUGAGCUGGAAGACCCCUGAGGUUACAAUACCACUCUACCCACCCCAGAGGUCUAUAUGGAGAAUACAUCUGCUGAAAAGUUACAAGACCUGCUUUUAGGGAACUCUUGGGGUGGGAAUUUCACACUCUGCCUGAUAAUAAAUGCUUUCCUUUCUGUUCUCAGU
rnacentral:lncRNA from 1 species